rnacentral:lncRNA from 1 species
CCUCCUUGUCAGUGCUGAUUUCUGCACCCAUCUCCCAGUUACCAUCUGGAAUAGAAUCCAAUAGUGAUCCACCAAUGGACAAUUUUUGCUAUGAAGGAGGAAAGAGAGGACAGAUUUGAUUACAACAAAAGCAUCCCAAGAAUGUGUCCUGCAUGAGCUCUUCAGGCUGUGAAAUCUUGAACUUCUACACCCAUCCUUGGCUGGCUUUUUCCAUGUGAGGCCAUAUAGAGUUGCUGCAGGUGAUAAGCAUCCUGAUGGAACUGAGCUUCACUAACAGGAGGACAACACUGAUUGCAGUAUCAGGGAUGAUAUAGUUUGAGCCGGAUUAUAGAGCUCAUCAACUGAUCCACAUCUUAAAUGCUCCAUCUUUGGCAUAAGGUGUUUGUAAAUAAUAUGCAGGGCAUUUAUAAAUAUGAUGGGAUACUUAAUACCAAAAUUAACUAUAAGUGAAUUGCUGGGAUAGAAUAAAAUACAGAAAACGAAUACAUAAGAUCAAUAUGUUACCAUAAAAUUAAAAUAUUUAAUAGCUUCAA